rnacentral:rRNA from 1 species
AUUGAACGCUGGCGGCAGGCCUAACACAUGCAAGUCGAGCGAGCGGCGGACGGGUGAGUAAUGUCUGGGAAUCUGCCCGAUGGAGGGGGAUAACUACUGGAAACGGUAGCUAAUACCGCAUACUAUCAGAUGCGCCCAGAUGGGAUUAGCUAGUAGGUGGGGUAACGGCUCACCUAGGCGACGAUCCCUAGCUGUUCUGAGAGGAUGACCAGCCAAACUGGAAAUGAGACACGGUCCAGACUCCUACGGGAGGCAGCAGUGGGGAAUAUUGCACAAUGGGCGCAAGCCUGAUGCAGCCAUGCCGCGGGUAUGAAGAAGGCCUUAGGGUUGUAAAGCACUUUCAGCGGGGAGUCGUUACCCGCAGAAGAAGCACCGGCUAACUCCGUGCCAGCAGCCGCGGUAAUAC